GCACGCCUGUGCCCAUACUGUGUCUCGACUCCUCCUACUCCUGGCCUCUACUACGUCCCUGUGCCAUGUGUACAAGCUGGAACGGCUCCUGCAUUUAGCGCCUCAGCCACGAUCCGUCAGUGCAGUGGAGAGAAUGGGCUUGCCUCUCCCUCCCAUUAAUUAGUGCUUCAACUAACCUGUCGUGUCCUGCACUUCAGCUGCGAGUCUGACUAACUGACUGACUGAUUAGCAGCAGCGAUGGAGAUAAGCUUCGGGCUGCGAGUCUGUGAGAGAUCAUCCACACAGCUCCAGCCUCCUCCGCUGACCUGCACUGACAGCUGAGUGCCUCAGCAGCCUUCGAGCUGCAGAUCGCUGGACACGGCUACACAAGCAUUGAAAAGCGCAGAUCAAUACAAAUCGGCAGAAUGGGUCUCCUCGUCAAAAAAUGGAGAACACAGUGGGGCGGCGUGGUGGCAGGUGAUCUGACUAUGCCAGCUGCCCAGCAAUUAACUCACAACUCAGGACAGGAGGAUAUGGAAGGGAGCCACUGACUCACAAGCAGAAACCUGUGGCAGAUCCAUUCAGGGAUGAUCUGCGCAAUCAUCCCCUCCCCCAUAAUACACAUGGCUAAGAGAUCUGCACCAGGGAGGAAAUGGAGGUCACGACUGCCCAAAGUGCAUAUGGUUAUUGACAUGUAGCUAAAUGGUUAAACACUACAAUCUAUUUCUUAACUGAGUAUUUUGUGCAUGACUCAUCAGCUACAAUAACAUCACAUGGCUGAGUCACAAGACUUAACGGUAAGGCUGAUUAGAAAGUAGGUGCAUGUUGUUUACUUGGCUCUAUAAAAUGUCUGCACUUGCCCAAGCCAUCACUGUGUUAUUAGAGCAUUGUAGUACUGUAUAGCUGUACUGCACUUAGCUCAGGAGAAAUUGAUAUCUUAACAUAUUAACUGCUGUUUAUCAUCUAUAUUUUGUAUCCUGUUAUUUUCAAUAAAACAUACAGAUAUA